UUCCUGUUACACUGUGCGCACUCUCUCUAAAGCCAGAAACCCCAAUCUACAGCUCUUGAUCUUGAUCCUUUUAUUGAUCUUGAUUCUAGGCAGGAUGACACCUCUCACACAGGAAAGCAGAGAAGAAAAGUGGCGUUACCCUUGAUCAAAGUUCAGUAGGAUAUUCCCAUUCCCAAUGAGCCUAGGGCUGUCAGAGACUGAUGUGACUUCCCAGGACACAUGCUGAAGUGACAUCUUUCAGGUCACGGUUGGAUGACCCGUGAAAGAAGGGCUGAGCGAGGACACCAGAUGGGUGUACCAUCUGGCUCUGUGCAACGCAGCGGAUGGGCUGGGCAGAUGCCACCAGUGAGCUGGACAGAAACCAAGCACAACAAACCCAUACCAAACAAAAACAAGCCGGACUCUGGAAGUGGUGGCAUGGUGGAGCUCAAACUGGGAAGUAUCGUGAAAUUUCAGCAAUUAGACAUGAAGGCAUAUUGCCAUUAUAGAGGUGAUGGUAAUCUAAAAGAUAAACCAUAUGAAGAAAUCAUAUGCAAGUCUAGAUGUGGUAAGCCAUGGAACUAUUGGGAUGAAAUUAGCUUUACCACAAUCAGUUUACCAGCAUGAAAUGAGAUAUUAGAGUAAAUCCUUUUAAUGAGAUCAAGUAGACCAGGUGCAGGUCUUAUGCAAGCCCCUGGGGUCCACUAAGAUGGUGGGCAAACUAUCAAACCACUGAAGUAAUGAAUACUGACUGGUCGUUUGGUGCCAACUCUCCUCCUGUCAUGGAUAAAACAGUGAAGCAAUUAGAACAGCAACUGCACUCCCUUAAUUCUUCUUUUUUUAAUUACUGCACUCUGCUCAUCCUCAGGGACUGUGAAGACCUUUUUUAUUUUUAUUUUGAAUUUUUUUUUUUUAAUUCAACACAUCUUUCCCUGUGCUCAUGGCAUCAGUUUUUUAGUAAAGUAUGCCUACCAGCUGCUUCGGUCUGCAGCCAUCACACUAGGGCUUUUGGUCUGUUCAGUUCAGUUAUUUGGUGUGAAAACUAAUGUGCACUAGUAAGUCAACUGAGGCGGUAUCUGUCUGUCUGUCUGUCUGUCUGUCUAUUGCUAAUAAAUCUGAAUGUACUUCCCAACAAUAUUAUAACUUAUUAUAAUUUAUUUUUCAAAAUUCUAAAUUUCAUGUUUAAUUA